GAUGAACGCUGGCGGCGUGCCUAAUACAUGCAAGUCGAGCGAACAGAUGAGAAGCUUGCUUCUCUGAUGUUAGCGGCGGACGGGUGAGUAACACGUGGGUAACCUACCUAUAAGACUGGGAUAACUCCGGGAAACCGGGGCUAAUACCGGAUAAUAUUUUGAACCGCAUGGUUCAAUAGUGAGAGACGGUUUCGGCUGUCACUUAUAGAUGGACCCGCGCCGUAUUAGCUAGUUGGUAAGGUAACGGCUUACCAAGGCGACGAUACGGAGCCGACCUGAGAGGGUGAUCGGCCACACUGGAACUGAGACACGGUCCAGACUCCUACGGGAGGCAGCAGUAGGGAAUCUUCCGCAAUGGGCGAAAGCCUGACGGAGCAACGCCGCGUGAGUGAUGAAGGUCUUCGGAUCGUAAAACUCUGUUGUUAGGGAAGAACAAAUUUGUUAGUAACUGAACAAGUCUUGACGGUACCUAACCAGAAAGCCACGGCUAACUACGUGCCAGCAGCCGCCGUAA
rnacentral:rRNA from 1 species